CUGCGGAAGGAUCAUCA
rnacentral:rRNA from 1 species